UACAGAGGGGGCAAGCGUUGUUCGGAAUUACUGGGCGUAAAGGGCGCGUAGGCGGCCUGUUAAGUCGAACGUGAAAUCCCCGGGCUCAACCCGGGAACUGCGUCCGAUACUGGCAGGCUUGAAUCCGGGAGAGGGAUGCGGAAUUCCAGGUGUAGCGGUGAAAUGCGUAGAGAUCGAGCGGAACACCAGUGGCGAAGGCGAGUUCCUGGACAAGACCU
rnacentral:rRNA from 1 species